CCUGGGUCUGCCAUAUCGAGCAUUCAGCUCUAGGCUUCACUCACCUGCCUAGGAUUACCAGGUCGCUCUGCUGAAGGGGCUGAAGGUCCCUAGGGAGAAGGACUGGCUUCUGAACACCAGGAAAUGGAAUGAGGCUCUUCACCCCUCAUCAGCAGGAAGAAGCUACAGAAGAAGGACCAUUGUCCCACCCCUGGACCUGUCUGAAUUCCUGCCAGAUGUGUGAGAUCCAUCAAUCAUCAUGCGUUGGCAUUAAGAACUUCUCAAAUUGAUUCCUAAAUUCUAUUUGACCCUGGAUGAAGAGGAACCUAAUUCAAAGAAGGAACAUCCAGUAAGAACAAGAGACCCAAGAAACCCUCAGUCUUCUAACCAUCUAGUGACUUUGGGGGGAUAUAAAGAUUUUAACAACAUCUGCUCAACAAUUGCUAGCCCAGAUGGAUUUAGAAUGUACCUUGGAAAAUUUGGUUACAGUUCUGUUUGUGAAAAUUACCCAGAAUUCCACAACUAUGCUGACUGUUAUUGUGUUAUUUCUAUGUUAUUGUACCCUUAUUGGUGGUGCCCCAGUACUUAGCAAAAAUUGUUAAUUCUUUUCAAAUUGGUAUCAUCAAUCUCUUCUUGAUAAUACAGUGGCUAUUGAUUAUUUGCUGGUGUUAUAUCAUAAGGAAUGCCAGAAUUUAAUAAUGUGUGUUGUUUCCAUUUAACUAGUAAUAUAACCCAAUUUAAAGGGAAUUGGAUCAUCUUAAGGACUUUGUAAAGAAGGUGCAGGAAGAUGAUGGAAGAUGGGAAUUUUUAGAUUGGUUAACCUCAUGACUACCAAAUUUUAUAUAGAUCAAGGAGCUUUUCAUUGGAGAAUGUUUAUUGAUAUUUGCCUUAUUAUACUCUGCUUGUUUUUGCCAAUGUUUGCCUUGCUUUCUCCCUCCAUCUUCCUUGAACAUAAGACAAGUCAUGUCUAUUCUAAAGGCAAUACAAAUCAAAAUAGGGGAGUUGUAGGAAUUUCAAAUCAGUCAAUGUUCAGAGGAUCAAAAGUCAUUUCAGUUGAGCAAAUGCCUCAGGACACAAUAGGUGCUCUGUUUGAAUGACUUAGAAAUGCUCUGCAACCCUUUGGUCCAUGAAGCCUGGGGACAUUAUAUUAUUAUAAUAACCUUUGGUCCUAGUGGACUCUGAUAAGCAAGUUAUGUAAUCUGGACAUAAAUAAAGUUAACUGUACUAUGUAUCCUAGUGUAACCUGAUAUGACCCUGGAAUAGAUAAUAAACUGGACUGACUUUCCCAUGAGAGCCACUUCUUGCUCUU